rnacentral:tRNA from 1 species
CAUCUCUUUAUUUUUAUAAAAUUAUUUAUAAAAUUUUAUAAAUAAUUUUAUAAAAAUAAAAUAAUAAAUAAA